rnacentral:sRNA from 1 species
CUCGGUUUGAUAUACAGACCCGAUCAUAAGCAGUUAGUAAAGCAGUUCUCUCUCAGGCGUUAUCCUUCGAUACCUCUCCUCUUUGAGUCUCCACUUAAGCUCUGAUUAAAUUCUGUCUCAGACCUCAUUCGCCGGAAGGCUACAAUCAAAAAGGUAAAAUUAUGUCUACUAAAAUGACUGGUAUCGUUAAAUGGUUCAACUCCGAGAAAGGCUUUGGCUUUAUUUCUCCGGUUGACGGCAGCAAAGACGUUUUCGUGCAUUUUUCUGCAAUUCAGAGCGACGCAUACCGCACGCUGGAAGAAGGUCAGAAAGUUGAGUUCUCUGUUGAGCAAGGCCAGAAAGGCCCGGCAGCAGCGAACGUGGUUGCUCUUUAAGGACGCCACUAAACUUAUGCAUUUU